rnacentral:tRNA from 1 species
GGAGUUGUGGCUCAGUGGUAGAGCGCUUGCCUAGCAUGUGUGAUGCACUACGUUUGAUUCUCAGCACCA